rnacentral:rRNA from 1 species
UGAGUACGAGCUGCUACGGCAGCGAAGUGGGUGACGUCAAGCUUCCAAGAAAAGCCCUAUACCCGUUAAGGCAUGACGGCCUGUACCCGAAACCGACACAGGUGGGGUGGUAGAGAAUACCGAGGGGCGCGAGGUAACUCUCUCUAAGGAACUCGGCAAAAUGGCCCCGUAACUUCGGGAGAAGGGGUGCCACCGCAAGGUGGUCGCAGUGAAGAGGCCCAGGCGACUGUUUACCAAAAACACAGGUCUCCGCUAAGUCGCAAGACGAUGUAUGGGGGCUGACGCCUGCCCAGUGCCGGAAGGUUAAGGAAGCUGGUCAGCGUAAGCGAAGCUGGCGACUGAAACCCCGGUGAACGGCGGCCGUAGCUAUAACGGUCCUAAGGUAGCGAAAUUCCUUGUCGGGUAAGUUCCGACCCGCACGAAAGGCGUAACGAUCUGGGCGCUGUCUCGGAGAGAGGCUCGGCGAAAUAGAAUUGUCUGUGAAGAUGCGGACUACGUGCACCCGGACAGAAAGACCCUAUGAAGCUUUACUGUAGCUUGGUAUUGUGCCCGGGCUCUGAAUGCGCAGGAUAGGUGGGAGGCUUUGAUCCAUUGCUUGUGGGUGAUGGUGAGCCAACGAUGAGAUACCACUCUUUCAGAGCUAGGGUUCUAACGGUCACCCGUCAUCCGGGGACCGGACAGUAUCAGGUGGGCAGUUUGACUGGGGCGGUCGCCUCCUAAAAGGUAACGGAGGCGCGCAAAGGUUCCCUCAGGCUGGUUGGAAAUCAGCCGACGAGUGUAAAGGCAGAAGGGAGCUUGACUGUGAGACCUACAAGUCGAACAGGGACGAAAGUCUGCCUUAGUGAUCCGACGGUUCUGAGUGGAAGGGCCGUCGCUCAACGGAUAAAAGUUACUCUAAGGAUAACAGGCUGAUCUCCCCCAAGAGUUCACAUCGACGGGGAGGUUUGGCACCUCGAUGUCGGCUCAUCGCAACCUGGGGCUGAAGUCGGUCCCAAGGGUUGGGCUGUUCGCCCAUUAAAGCGGUACGCGAGCUGGGUUCAGAACGUCGUGAGACAGUUCGGUCCAUAUCCGGUGCAUGCGCAGGAAUAUUGAGAGGAUUUCUCCCUAGUACGAGAGGACCGGGAGGAACGCACCUCUGGUGUGCCAGUUAUCGUGCCAACGGUAAACGCUGGGUAGCCAUGUGCGGAGUGGAUAACCGCUGAAAGCAUCUAAGUGGGAAGCCCACCUCAAGAUGAGUAUUCCCAUGGCGUUAGCCAGUAAGGUCACGGGCAGAACACCCGUUGAUAGGCUCUACGUGGAAGCCGGGUAACCGGUGAAGCGGAGGAGUACUAAUAGACCGAGGGCUUGACC